GCAGGGAAACAGAUGGACCCACGAAGUCUUGUUGGUGAUGUGAGUCAUUCAGUUUUAGCAUCGUUGGAUGUUGUCGUGAGUUGGAGUUCUUCUUUCUCGCUUCACUUUCAACAAUGGUGUUAACGCUGAUGCAUUUCGCAUCACCACGUUGGAGCUCUGACCUCUAGAUACGAGAUGUCUAUGUGAUGUGCACUUAGUGUUAGUUGUUCUCUUGUCGAUCAUUCGCUGAUCGCUUGAGUUCACUUUACUUUGAGCAUGAUCUUUUCGUCUAUCAUCUAGAGGGUGAAUACUCAUUCGAAUGUGAAUGUAUUAAAUUCAGACUGUAUGUCUGUGUGUACGGUUGGUUAGCAGAAUGGCUACUCUUAGUGACCAUCGACUUCGGUUGAUGCCAUUUCGAAAUGGUCAUUCAUUAAAUGGCUUUCCAUUGCCUGCACGCACGACGGCAAUCCAGAGUAAGUAGGUCGGUCAUCCAUCUGACCC
rnacentral:rRNA from 1 species